rnacentral:rRNA from 1 species
CGCUGGCGGCAUGCCUAACACAUGCAAGUCGAACGAGACCUUCGGGUCUAGUGGCNCACGGUGCGUAACGCGUGGGAAUNUGCCCUUGGGUUCGGAAUAACUUCGGGAAACUGAAGCUAAUACCGGAUGAUGACGUAAGUCCAAAGAUUUAUCGCCCAAGGAUGAGCCCGCGUAGGAUUAGCUAGUUGGUGAGGUAAAGGCUCACCAAGGCGACGAUCCUUAGCUGGUCUGAGAGGAUGAUCAGCCACACUGGGACUGAGACACGGCCCAGACUCCUACGGGAGGCAGCAGUGGGGAAUAUUGGACAAUGGGCGAAAGCCUGAUCCAGCAAUGCCGCGUGAGUGAUGAAGGCCUUAGGGUUGUAAAGCUCUUUACCCGGGAUGAUAAUGACAGUACCGGGAGAAUAAGCUCCGGCUAACUCCGUG